GAGACAUAUCAAAAGUUUCUCGAAUCCAACUUGAAAACAGGAUGAGUUGAAGCUUGAAGGUGACUGCAUGCUACCGGCAAAAUUUUGGGCGACUGUCAUCGGGACAAAUUUAAAUUACUUAAAAUUUGCAACCUUGUAGGGCAGACGCAGACGAGUCCUUUCCUCAGUACACAGCCGGCCUGUGCAUAAAUCGCCGGCUUAAUAGCCACCCACAGCCACCAAUGCCAUCGUCGUUCCUGGGGAACCAUGACGAUUUCUUCAGUUUAACGGCCUUAUUUGUGGGUCCCUCUCGCCUUACUAUUAGACGGCUUUCCCUCUAUGGUCGCGCCAAUCAAAAAGGAAAAUUACAAGAAAUAAAAAGAGAUACUGAGGCCUCUUGGCUGCCACAAGUUCACAACAAACUUCCUUCCGGAAAAAUAAUCCAUUUUCUUUUCUUUACUCUGAUGGAAAAUAAGCCUUGUCUCGCCGCCCAAACAAGGCCCCACCCCCAGCUCCAACCCAUUCUCGAACACCAUGAUCUCCCCUUCACGCUCCCUCAGUCUCUCUCCUCCCCAUUCAUCUUCUCUGAAAUCCAGGACCGCCCAACAGAGCAACCCUAUUCUACACGUGGAGCUCCGACUGACUACGGAUGGAAACCGGGUAAUCUCCACCGCUCCAAAACAGCUCCAGCCAUGGUCGUGAUGCGAGACUUGAAACCAGAAUCAACCCAAGAUCCCAAGCCGCAAUCUGACUCCAGCUCCAUUAUCAGGCAAUCCAUUUUCCUGUUGUCUAUGUUUCUACUUCUCGGCGUGGUUAUCUACUCUUUUAACAGAGAUAACUUCUCCGGUGU
rnacentral:misc_RNA from 1 species